rnacentral:lncRNA from 1 species
ACAAAGCAACCUGAGCCAAAGAACCUGCAGCAACCAACAUCUUAUCAGCCAGCAAGACGUUUAGCUUCUCUUUCUGAAGAAUCAAGAUUUGGGAGGAGAAGAAAACAAAGCUUUGAAUCCAAAAACGGAGGAGCGGUGAACUUUCACCAAAAUCAAAGCUAAAAUAGUAGAACCCAACAUCGACAGCGUAUCAAGAGUUCCAUUCCAAUUUGUCCUUCGUCGCCAUCGUCAUCACAGAAUUAAGUACUCCAUCAUCCUAAGCACCAUAAGCCUGUCUUCUCCGACCCUCCACCGCCAGCAUGUGAGCCGUUCUAUUGACAGAUCUGGGUACAAAAUUAAAAGAAACCUCGUCAAAACACUUUUCCAGAUAACAAAUUUGCUGCGUUAUUGGUCGAAGAACUGACCUGUCCUUUUCUUUUUUCUUAAUGUUCUUGAUGACAGUUAGUGAGUCCCCUUCCACGAUCAGGCAUCGAUAACCUCCCUCGACCACAAACAGAAGCGUCCGUUCAUAAGCCCUUGCUUCAGCCACGCAACAAUCAUUUACAUCCGUGAAUAGAUAAGUUUCUAACCCUCUAAUUCCUGCUUCCGAAUCUCUAGCUAGGACUGUCGUUGUAGCAAUUCUUGACUUAUUAUGAUAAGCUGCAUCAAAGUUUAGUUUAAAAACCCCACGAUCUAGAGGCUUCCAAGCUUCUUUACUCUUAGUUCUAUUGGUAGAACAAAUGUUCUCCUGUGACAUGUUGAGAUCUCGGCAAUAUCUAUGAACAAACCCCACUAACUCCUGCAAAUAAUACUUACGGCCUUCAUGAACUAGUUUAUUUCAUCUAUACCAGAGACCCCAAAUAGAAAUGGCCAUAACUUGUUUUUGUUGUUCAUCCGUAGCGAUAAAAGAAUGGAAGAAGUGCAGCUUGCAACACGUCAGUUCCUCAAGGGACAGAAGCUUGAUUUGCAAAUAGUCCCACACAGAUUGGAGGAUGCCAUAAGACCACAACAAAUUAUCAGAGUUUUCCCGAGCAAUUUUACACAAAGGACAGACAAUCUCAGUACAUAAGUACCUUUUCUCCAAGUUACAGAAAUGGGACAGUAAAUUAUUGAAAAGUCUCCAUAUGUGAAUUUUAAUUUUCUCUGGGAUAUGCAAAAUCCAAAGAGCCUUGUAAAAAUUCUGUUGGUAAGUUUCAUCAGGGAUAAUAGGAAAGUUUUUCUGUAACCACUCUGUAGAAAGAGCUUUAUAUCCACUUUUCACUAUAUACUCCCCAGACCCUUCAUAUUUCCAUACCAUCAUGUCCUCAGAGUUAGCUCCCAUUAGAGGAAUGGAGAUAAUACGUAUCGCUGUGUCUUCAUCAACUAAAUUAUGUAUCAGCUCAUUAUUCAAAGAUUUGUCUCAACUUCAAUCAAUUGAUUCAUACAUGUCCAGUUAGGCAGAAUCCUUUGAACUGACAAUCUGUUGUUCUCCCUUCCAGGCAACCAAAGAUCAUUCCAUAAAUUAAUAUGGGAACCGCUACCAACCCGCCACACAAGCCCAUCCGCAAUCAGUUCCCUGACACUACAAAUACUUCUCUAGGUAAAUGAAGGGUAAGACCCAAUUCUCGCUGUUAGAAUAUCCAAAGAUAGGAAAUAUCAAGCUUUUAAAACUUUAGGUAGAAGGCAACUAGGUUGAGAGAAAAUGCGCCAAACCUUUUUAGCUAAUAAUGACUUGUUAAACAAAACAAGAUUUUUAAAUCCCAUUCCACCAACACAUUUCGGACGACAUAAAAAGUCCCAAGUGCUCCAAUGAAUACCCUUCGCAGUUUUAUUAUUGGUCCACCAAAAUUUGUUCAUUAUGCCUUCGAGCUUACGACAUAAGGUCUUAGGCAUAAUAAAGCAUUGCAUAGUGUAUAUUGGGAUGGCCUAAAAGACUGACUUAAUGAAGACUUCCCUCCCCCCCCUAUAGACAAAUACCGCAAGCUCCACCCAUCAACAUGUUUUCUGAACCUAUCAACAAAAUUCGGGAAAGCCCAGGCUUUUUUCCGCCCUACCAUCAUAAGCAAACUUAGGUACUUCUCUGGGCUUGAAGCUACUCGAGCCCCAAGCAAGUUAACUAUGUUCUCCUUAACAGACGAGUCCAUGUUGGCCCCAAAAUAGAUAAGGGACUUAUCAAAAUUCACACGCUACCCAGAAAUCAUCUCAUACUCCCGAAUCACAUCACGAAUCACUCUAGCUCAUUUGCAUGAGGCAUCGCCAAAAAGGAUACUAUCAUCUGCAAAGAACAUAUGAGCAAUUGAAAGUUUUUUCUUGCCAAUCAACGCCCCUUUCAACCGUCCUUUCUGUUUGGCUUCCUUGAUAAGUGUAGAAAACCCUUCCGCACAAAUGAGAAAAAGAUAUGGGCUGAGAGAAUCCCCUUGCCUCAAAUCUCUUGAAGCCGAAAACCACUCACUGUUGGACCCAUUGAGACUGACCGAAAAAGAGACGGAGCACACACAUCUCAUAAUUAAAACAACCCAAUCAUUAUGAAAGCCCAAGUGUGUCAUCAUACCCGCCAAAAAAUCCCAUUCAACACGGUCAUACGCUUUGCUCAUAUCGAGUUUAAGCGUAAAGUUUUCGUUCUUUUCGGUUUUUCUCGUUUUAAGGGAGUGAAGGACCUCAUAAGCUACUAGUACAUUGUUGGAAAAAAGUCUGCCUAGAAUAAACGCUCCUUGAGCAUCAUCAAUACAAUGACCCAAAAUAGAACUCAUCCAUUUCACCAACGCUUUUGCCACAAUUUUAUGAACAACAUUGUAAAGACUAAUGGGGCAUAAUUGAGUCAAAUUUAUUGGUUUCUCAACCUUAGGGAUUAGAACAAUUUGGGUCUUAUUAAUGUCACCUAACUCAGAUUCGCCAUUCAAAAUUGAAAGACAAUAAGAUAAAAUAUCAGGCCCUAUUAAAUGCUAGUACCUUUGGAAAAGUAUUACAGAAAAUCCAUCAAUUUCAGGUGCAUGCAAAGGCGCCAUCGGCUUUACUACCGACUCUAUAUCUUCUGCAGUGAACUAAGUAAGAAGAUUGUCAUUCAUGUUUUUCGUAACUCUUUUCUCCACUAACUCAAAAACAUGCUCAUCAGGGCCCAUUUCAAAAGUCGAAAAAAGAUCACUAAAGAAUUCAAAAGCAAGUUUUAGCAUUGCAUCAUUCGAGGAAAUUCUCCUACCAUUCUUAUUAUCAAGCUCAGAAAUUCUACCCCGCAUUUGACGUUGCACAGCUAUAUUGUGAAAAUAGCUAGUAUUUCGGUCUCCAUUCUUAAGCCAAUUGACAUGGGCUCGUUGCUCCCAAAACAAUUAUUCCUUGUCUGCCUCCAAAUUAAGUCCUAGUUGGAGAUCAAAAAUUUCUGCUAAAAUCUCGUCAAAGAGGUCCUGGUUAUACAGGAAAUUUAAUCUAUCUUCUAAAUCUGCACAGACUUUGCUUUCCUCUUUUUUUUUUUACUCCAACACUGAAUCUGAUAGCUCAAACUUUGAAGCUUAACCAGAAUGCUUCCUGAACAUUCAGUCCACCAUUUUUCGACUAAUCCUUCAAAAGAAGUAUCCAAACACCACUUAGCCUCGAAUCUAAAAGCCUUAUCAAUGAAGCGCUGAUCCUUCUUGCCUUUCCCCACGGUAUCCAAGAGAAUAGGGCAGUGGUCAGAGAAGGAGUGACUCAAAUGUUCAAUCUAAUAGCAAGGGAAAAGAUUGACCCAGUCCAACGAAGUAACCCCACGAUCCAGACGUUCCCUAAUGUUAUUACUUGAAAAUUUUCCUCUCCCAAGUGAACCAGCGACCAAUAUAACCCAGAUCAUUACGAUUACAAUCCUCCAGUGUUAGUCGAAAAGCAUCCAUUUGACGUUCUGAUCUGAGACGACCACAUUUCUUCUCAAAAGAGCUGACAAUCUCAUUAAAAUUUCCAAGAACGACCCAAUGAAUAGCUUGAUCAUGACUUAAGU